rnacentral:rRNA from 1 species
AUACGUAUGGGGCUAGCGUUGUUCGGAUUCACUGGGCGUAAAGGGCGUGUAGGCGGUGAGGUAAGUCGGAUGUGAAAUCUCCGGGCUCAACCCGGAAAUUGCAUUCGAUACUGCCUCGCUAGAGUACCUGAGAGGGAGACGGAAUUCCUGGUGUAGGGGUGAAAUCUGUAGAUAUCAGGAGGAACACCAGUGGCGAAGGCGGUCUCCUGGCCGGAUACUGACGCUGAGGCGCGAAAGCUAGGGGAGCAAACAGAAUUAGAAACCCUAGUAGUCC